rnacentral:rRNA from 1 species
UACAGAGGGGGCAAGCGUUGUUCGGAAUUACUGGGCGUAAGGGGCGCGUAGGCGGCCUUCUAAGUCGAACGUGAAAUCCCCGGGCUCAACCCGGGAACUGCGUCCGAUACUGGAAGGCUUGAAUCCGGGAGAGGGAUGCGGAAUUCCAGGUGUAGCGGUGAAAUGCGUAGAUAUCUGGAGGAACACCGGUGGCGAAGGCGGCAUCCUGGACCGGCAUUGACGCUGAGGCGCGAAAGCCAGGGGAGCAAACAGG